rnacentral:snRNA from 1 species
AUGCUUGCUUCAGCAGCAUUUAUGCUAAAAAUUGGAACAAUACAGAGAAGAUUAGCAUGACCCCAUGUGGAAAAGAAUGCCACAAAAUUUGUAUUUUAUUUUU